rnacentral:rRNA from 1 species
CGAACGCUGGCGGCGUGCUUAACACAUGCAAGUCGAACGGAAAGGCCCUGCUUUUGUGGGGUGCUCGAGUGGCGAACGGGUGAGUAACACGUGAGUAACCUGCCCUUGACUUUGGGAUAACUUCAGGAAACUGGGGCUAAUACCGGUUAGGAGCUCCUGCUGCAUGGUGGGGGUUGGAAAGUUUCGGCGGUUGGGGAUGGACUCGCGGCUUAUCAGCUUGUUGGUGGGGUAGUGGCUUACCAAGGCUUUGACGGGUAGCCGGCCUGAGAGGGUGACCGGCCACAUUGGGACUGAGAUACGGCCCAGACUCCUACGGGAGGCAGCAGUGGGGAAUAUUGCACAAUGGGCGGAAGCCUGAUGCAGCAACGCCGCGUGCGGGAUGACGGCCUUCGGGUUGUAAACCGCUUUCGCCUGUGACGAAGCGUGAGUGACGGUAAUGGGUAAAGAAGCACCGGCUAACUACGUG